rnacentral:tRNA from 3 species
AAGAUUUUAAGUUACAUAAACUAUAAACCUUCAAAGUUUAAAAUAAGAUAUAUUAAAUCUUAAAUCUUG